GUUUACACCCGACCAAAACAACGAAUGUGGAUACUACAAAACGAAAAACGCUCCGAACCGCGAGCGAAUUUUGGUACGCCUAUAUCGACCACCGGUAUAGGUGGUCGACAGGCACUACGCAUAUACAACUGGUGUCUAAAAAGGUUUAUUGGUGUUCAUACGCUUCCGUCAUAAUAAAUAAGUUACCAGCUAUUAUUGAUUUUAUGCUGUUAUAUAAAUAAAUAAUUGAUCAAUACAAUCGUUGACAGUAUUUACUAUCUGCACUCCUAUAUUUAUGUAAUCUGAAAUAACUUUCUUUUCAUAUCAGCACUGCUGUCUAUAGUGUCAGUUUGAACAUAUAUUAUUUUUAAAUAAAUUAUAUACCUUACCUA